CCUUUCCUUCCUCCCAGCGCCCCAACGCCCGCCUCCUCCAGGCCUCGAUUGGCUCCGCUUCAGCGGACGCACCACAGGUGGAAGCGCCUCGUCUACCAGCUCGCUGGGCGUUCCAACCCUCGUCUCUUCCCACCCACCUGCACUCCCUAACCCUGAACAGAAGCAGGACCCAACUCAAUAUCCGAGAAGGUAGAAGAGACAGGCGAAAAGGGAGACAAGAGCACCUCAUCUUGACAGCCAGGAUCCAUUUGACAUCAGCAAUGAUAUUCCUUGUUCCACGUCCUCUUCUGAAUCUGGCCUCAAUUUCUGGCAGUUCCCUGUCAAGGUACUGUUGCAAUCAUUUUUGAGUAAUCUUCAGCAUAAUUUUACUUGCAUGUGAUAUUAAUGAUAUUGUUUGAAAAUUUCCAUAUUCUGCUGGAACACCUUUCUUUGGAAUGGGCAUAAAUAUGGAUCUUUUCCAGGUGGUUGGCCAGGUAGUUGUCUUCCAAAUUUCCCAGCAUAGAUUGGUAUUCCAUCAAUUCCUGGAGCCUGUUUUUCGCCAAUGCCUUCAGUACACCUUGAACUUUCUCCUUCAGUACCCUUGGCUCUUGAGCAUAUGGUACACCUCCUGAAAUGGUUGAGAGACAGUACCUGACCUAAAUCCAACGGCAAAGCCUGAGUUCUUUUCACUAUAAACUGUGCCAGUGCAUUAAACGAAAAAAUUAGCACCUGAUACUCUCUUUCAUAUAAUUUCAGAAUUGAAAGAGAAUAAAAAUGAGAAGGCAUGAAGAAGAGUUUAUAUUCUGCAUGGAGAAUGUUCCCAAAAGUCUAUUCACAAAGAUUUCUUAACAAAUAUUCCUCUUUGAAAGUGGAGAAUAUCCUCUACAGGAUAUGUAUACAAAGUGGGCACACGAAAAUUUAUAACCAAAAAAUUACACUUACCAUUGGUAGACAAUAAAAACUGAGCAGCAUUUUUCUGCGGCAACCACCUAAUUUUGUUGAUCUUUUCUUCUAUUUCUAAACUUUUCAAGUAGUCAAACUCUGGUUCAUGGCUCUGGAAGGUGCUGUAAACAUUAUAUUCUCCUCUGCUAUGAGACUGGAUUUUGUUCUAAAAUGCAAAAACAAAUAUUUGGACCACUGUUGAAAAACCUCAUUUCAAACCAAUCAAGCACAUAAUCAACUGCAAGAGAUCUUGCAAAUUCUAGUUAAUUCAUUAGGUGUAUCUUAAAAAAACCAAAAAACCAAACCCAUUGCCACUGUCGAGUCGAUUCUGACUCAUAGCAACCCUACAGGACAGAAAAGAACUGCCCCAUUGAGUUUCCAAGGAGCACCUGGUAGAUUUGAACUGCCGACCUCCUGAUUAGCAACCUACCACUUAACCACUACGCCACCAGGGUUUUCAGGUGUAUUUUACAUACAAUCACACUGUUUUUUAUAUUUAACAGCCUCCAAGGAAUAAUAAGAAAGCUUAAAAAGGGGAAAGCUAAAUAAAGCCUAAUAAUCUAAGCCCAAAUUAAAUAAGAAAAUACAAUAAAACAUGGAUCAGUUUGAUUACUGGAUCUAAUUAAUUUGCUGUUUUGAUAUAUUAAAAAUAUAGAGGUAUACUGAUAAAAAUGUGAGAAAAAUUUGCUCAGAAACAGCUGGCAAGGCAUACCUCCUUUCUCUGCCCACUUAAGGGUCAAUUCUCAGCCUGUUAUUAAUCAGCAUUAUCUAGGACCUCUCCCAAACCCCCUCUUACCACCUACUGCUUACUCUCCCUUCUUAUGAGACUGGCAAACACUGAUGAUUUGUUUCAUUUAAUAUCAGUGUGAGACAAUAUAGUUUAAAUUAGAUGGACUUGUGAACUUUAGUAACACUAAUGCCUCAGAAAGACUGAGUUUUAACCACAUUCAGAAUUUACUCUUUUAGCUUAUUAUGACAUCAUUAAAAAUCUAUCAAAAAUCAUUAAAUGGCUAGUUCAAAGAACCUAUUAAAAAUUAUUUAUAUGAAAUGAUAGUAAUGGAUAUUAUUGAUAAGUCAACUAAAAGUAAAUUAUAAAUGAAAGUUUUGUUUAAGCACUUGUCAAUAGGAACUAUUAUUAUUCUCUAUAUAAAAAGACAACCUUAUUGAAUUAUCAUCUUGAAUGGGUUGUUUUCUUUCAGUAGCUUGAUUAUCUAGAUUGAUCAUUCACUGAUACAUUUAUACCUGGACACUCUGACAGUAUCAACUAUUAAUGAGCGGGUUUGCCGACGUUAAAGAAUGCAGAGCAUACCAAAGUACAUAACCUAUACUGGGGAAAGGAGAGGGUAAAAAUCAAGCCCAGAACCUUAUCUCAUUAUCACACUCUUACCCCAAAUGAGAUAACCUAGUCCAUUACAUAUAUACACUCUGAUAUCAUUUUAGAAGACAUUCCACAAAUCUUCUACCUCAAAUUACUCACCCAGUCUCACAAUGUUUAUUUAUCAUUAAAACCAAAACCAAACGAAACUCAUUGCAGUGGAGUCAAUUCUGACUCAUGGCAACCCCACGUUACAGAGUAGAACUGUUCCAUAACGUUUCUUAGCUGUAAUCUUUACAGAAGCAGAUCACCAGGCCUUUCUUCCAUGGUGCCACUGCCUGGGCUUGAACCACCAAAUCUGUGGUUAGGUAGUCAAGUGUAACCUAUUUGCAUCACCCAAAACCAAACCAAACCCGUUGCUGUCGAGUCGCUUAUUAUGCUCUCCGAAAAAAAAAAAAAAAGAUGCACUACACAGCAGUUGGAAUUUUAAUAUAGAUGCUGUUUUCAACUUUGGUUUUUCAUUUAGUACUCAAAAGAGAAACUUUGGUAUUAGGUAAACUAGGUUCUGGAAGGAUAGAGAUUUAGCAACAAAGAAUCUCUGCCUUCAAGUAACUUGUGUAGAUAAAACUUUUAGUCAAAAGUAGAAACUGAUUAAGGUCCAUACAGUUCUGGUAAGCAAUAUAAAGAGCUAAGGGCAAACUGCGAAUCAUUCCAUACACAAAAGUUGAGUCUGUAUGGGUCACACUGGAUUUGCUGACGUGUAAAGGAAGAAACACAAGUAUCUGGCGAAAGUAUUCUCUAAAACAGAAAGGGAACAUCACCCUGGGGACUCACGAUCUAUUAGAAGAUCCAAAACAAAAUCACUGAGGUAUCUGGCAGUCUCAAAGGAAUGCAAAAAGCACUGUUUCUUUUUAAAGAAGAAGAAAAAAAAACACACACACACAAGCAGAAAAUUAUGUCGAAAAAACUAAUGAUGUCAGACUGAACACUGGCAUUAGCUAGCCUCCGCUCUCCCUUGAAACUCCACUAACGAUGCAGUAAAAUAAUUUUUAAAGAGAAAUCUACACAAAGAAUAACAGCAAUUAUGACAGCGGCAGUAACAAAACAGAAGAGGCUAUGAAACAGAUACAUGAGUGGUAACUGACUUAAGAUUACACUAGACAACAUGAGCAGUGCUCAUCCAAUCAGUGGAAGGCCUUAAGAGCAAAACUGAGUUUCACAGAGAAGAACUUCUGUCUCAAGGCUGCAGCAUCAUAUCCUGCCAAGUUUCUAGCCUGCUGGUCUGUCUUACAAAUUUCAGACUUGCCAGUCCCACAAUCACAUGAACCAGUUCCUUCAAAUCAAUCAAUCUCAAGCCCUCUCUCUCUCCGUACCCUACUUUGUUUCUGGAAAACCCUAACACACUUGCUUUUGCAAUCACUGCAAGAAUCUAUUUUCCUAACCAGAUUUUUUGUGUGGAAUUUUCUUUCAUAAAAUAAAUCUGUAAGAGCUUUAUUCCCAACACCUGUAAUAGUACCUGGAAUAUAACAGGUAUUCAAUAAAUAUUUUCCAAAUAAACAGUAAUGAUAAAAAAGAAUGAGCAAAGAUGGUACUGGUGUGGUAAAGAGAGACUGGAGGUAACCUGGUAGAUGGGAGUACUGUGCAGAAAUUCGAAAGAAUGAGAUUUAUACAUGGCAAUCAACAAGGAUGUUGAAAAUAUAGUUCUUAGUGUACAAAAAAGGAGGACACAGAAGGAGGUAUGACAUAUAGGAGUCUUUAAAUGCAUUAAAAACACAGUACAGAAAACCAAAAUCAAAAAUUUUGAACACAGAUGCAAGCUAAAUCCAAAAAUGUAUAAAGGGUACAACAUUAGGGCCAGGCGAAAGCAGUGGUUCAGUAGAAGAGCGUUUGCCUUCCACGAGGGAGACCUGGGUUUAAUUCCUGGCCAGUGCACCUCAUGUGCAGUCACCAUCUGUCUGUCAGUAGAGGCUUGUGUGUUGCUACGAUUCUGAACAUGUUUUGGUGGAGUUUCCAGACUAGGAAGAAGGGCCUGGCAAGCUGCUUCUGGAAAAUCAGCCAAUGAAAAUCUUAUGGAAGACAAUGAUCCGAUUCUAAUGUGCAUGGGGUAACCACGGUUGAGGGCGGACUCAAUGGCAGUUAACGACAACAUCAUGACUAAGUUGUAAUGCAGAGUAAUUAAGACAAUGUGAUAUUGCCAAAGGAUAAACAAAUAUACCAAGGAAAAGGAGGAGAAAGCCCAGAAGGAAGCCGGAAUUAUGACAAGCUGGCCUUGCUCAGCAACAAAGAAAGGGUAAUCUUUCCACCAAAUGGUGUCAGACCAGUUGACUAUUCAUAUGAAACAAACCUUGACCUCAUACACCACAAACCAUAUAAGUAAAUUCCAGGCCAAUCAGAGGUAUAAAUAUGAAAUGUACAAUAAUUCGGUUCUACGACAACUCUGUCUAUAGAACUUUCUGCAAUGAUGGAAAUGGCCUCUAUCUGUGCUGUCCAAUAUGGUAGCUACCCAUGGUUACUGGGCAUCUGAAAUGUGGCUACUGCAGCUAAGAAAGUGAAUUUUAAAUUUUAAUAGCCACAUGUGGCUAGUGGCUACUCUACAAGACAGCAGAGGUCUAAAAGAAAACAGUAACAUCCUCCUGAAGUUUGGGGUAGAGAAAUAUUUAACAGGACAGUAAAAGUAGUAACCUAAAAGAAAACACUGAUAAACUGAAUUGGAUUAAUAUUAAUGACCUCAAUUUAUCAAAAUGUAUCAUUCAGAAAUGAAAUGAAGUCACAGAACGGAAAAUACUUCCAACAAAUAUAACUGACAAGGGGUUUAUAUUCACAAAGUAUAGAGAAAAUCUACAGAUCAAUAAGAAAACUGACAGAUAACCCAGUAGAAAAUGUGCAAGAGAUGUGAAUAGGCACUACACAAAAGGCAGUAACAUCCAAGUGGCCAAAAAUAAAUAAAAAGAUGCUCAACUUCAAUGUUAAUGAAGUACAAACUGAAACCACAAUAAGAUACGCUCAUUGUUGUUGUCGUGUGCCAUCAUGGCAAUUCAGACUCAUAGCAUCCCUACAGGACAGAGCAGAACUGCCCCACAGGGUUUAGGCUGUAAUUUUUACAGGAGUAGACUGCCACUUCUUUUCUCCCAUAGAGUUUGAACCGCUGACCUUUCCAUUUGAAGCUGAGCACUUAACCACUGUACCACCAGGACUCCUUGGACACAAACCUCCACCAAAUGUUUAAAUUAAAAAAAAAAGUGAUAGAACAGAUGCUUGGCAAAGAUGUGGUAUAAUAAGAAUAUUCAUAUAUAGUUCACGAGAAUAUAAGUUGGCAGAAACAUUUUUUUCUGUAUUGUCGUUGUUUGGUGCUGUCCUACUCAUAGCGAUCCUAAUGAAUGAAACGACAGAAUGAAACAUGCCCAGUCCUGCACCACCCUCAUGAUUGUUGCUAUGCUUGAGCUCCCUGUUGCAGACACUGUGUCAAUCCACCUCUCUGAAACCCUCCCUCUUUUUGCUGACCCUUUACUUUACCAAGCAUGAUGUCCUUCUCCAGGGACUGAUUCCUCCUGAUAAAAUGGCCGAAGUGUGUAAGAUGUAGUCUCUCCACUGUUGGUUCUAAGGAGUAUUUUGGCUGCAGUUCUUCCAAGACAGAUUUGUUCAUCCUUUCGGCAGUCCGUGGUAUAUUCAGUAUUCUUUGCCAACACCAUAAUCCCAAAGCGGCAAUUCUUCUUUGGUCUUUCUUAAUCAUUGUUCAGCUUUCGCAUACAUAUGAGGCGACUGCAUACCACUGCUUGGGUCAGGUGCACCUUAGUCCUUAAAAUGACAUCUUUGCUUUUUAAUACUUUAAAGAGGACUUUUGCAGUAGAUUUUACCCAACCCUAUGGGUCGUUUGAUUUCUUAACAGCUGUGUCCAUGGGUGUAGACUGUGGAUCCAAGUAAAAUGAAAUCCUUGGCCAUUUCAAUCUUUUCUCCAUUUAUCAUGCUGUUACUUAUUGGUCCACUUGUUGGGAUUUUUGUUUUCUUUAUGUUGAGCUGCAAUCCACACUUAAGGUUGUGGUCUUUGAUCUUCAUCACUAAGUGCUUCAAGUCCUCUUUGCUUUCAGCAAGCAAGGUUGUAUCAUCUGCACAUCACAGGUUGUUAAUGAGUCUUCCUCCAAUCCUGAAGUCUCGUUCUUCUUCAUAUAGUCCAGCUUCUCUAAUUAUUUGCUCAGAAUACAGGUUAAGUAUGAUGAAAGGAUACAACCCUGAUGCACACUUUCCUGACUUUGAACCACAUAGUAUCCCCUCGUUCUGUCUGAAUGACUGCCUCUUGGUCUAAGUACAGGUUUCUCACUAGCAUAAAUUAACUGUUCUGGAAUUUCCGUUCUUUGCAAUGUUAUCCAUAAUUUGUUAUGAUUCACACAGUCGAAUGCCUUUGCACAGUCAAAACACGUAAACAUCUUUCUGGUAUUCUCUGCUGUCAGCCAGGAUCUGUCUGAAAUCAGCAAUGAUAUCCCUUGUUCCACGUCCUCUUCUGAAUCCAGCUUAAAUUUCUGGCAGUUCCCUGUCGAUGUACUGCUACAACUGCUUUUGAAUGAUCAUCACCAAAGUUUUACUUGCCUGUGAUAUUGCUCAAUAAUUUCUGCAUUCUGUUGGGUCACCUGUCUUUGGAAUAGGCAUAAACAUUGAUCUCCCUCAGUCAGUUGGCCAGGUAGUUGUCUUCCAAAUUUCUUGGCAUAGACAAGUGAAUACUUCCAGUGCUGCAUCUGUUUGAUGAAACAUCUCAAUUUGUAUUCCGUCAAUUCCUGGAGCCUUGUUUUUCGCCAAUGCCUUCAGUGCAGCUUGGACCUCUUCUUUCAGUGCCAUCAGUUCCUGAUCAUAUGCUACCUCCUGAAAUGGCUGAAUGUCGACCAUUCCUUUUUGGAAUGGUGACUCUGUGGAUUCCUUCCAUCUUAUUUUGAUAAUUCUCAUGUCGUUUAAUAUUUUCCCUGAAGAAUCCUUCGAUACUGCAACUUGAGGCUUGAAUUUUUUCUAUGAUCUCUACUAAAACUGAAUACAUACCCUAUGACAAAAUAAUUUCAUGCAUGACUAUGAGCACCAAAGAGCACAGUCAAGAACAUUCAUCCCUGCAUUAUUCUUAAUAGCCCCAAACUGGAAACAACCAAAAUGUCACAAUGGUAAAUUUUUACAAUUUUGAAGAGUACCCUUAGUCCUUAAAGUGACAUUUUUGCUUUUUAACGCUUUACAGAGGUCUUCAGCAGCAGAUUUACCCAAAGUGAUGCGUCGUUUGAUUUCUUGGCUGCUGCAUUCCAUUGAUUGCGGAUCCAAAUAAAAUGAAAUCCUUGACAGCUUUAAUCUCUUCUCUGUUAAUUAUGAUGUUGCUUAUUGGUCCAGUUUUGAGGAUUUCUGUUUUUGUUAUGUUGAAGUGCAAUCCAUACUAAAGGCUACAGACUUUGAUUUUCAUCAGUAAGUGCUUCAAAUCCCCUUCACUAUCAGGUUGUGUCAUCUGCAUAUCGCAGGUUGUUAAUAAGUCUUCCUCCAAUCCUGAUGCCCUAUUCUUCUUCAUAUAGACCAGUUUCUUGGACUAUUUGCUCAGCAUACAGACUGAAUAAGUAUGGUGAAAGGAUACAACCCUGACCCACACCUUCUUGAUUUUAAACCAUGCAGUAUCCCCUUGUUCUGUCUGAAUGACUGAUUCCCGGUCUAGGUACAGGUUCCUCAUGAGCACAAUUAAGUAUUCUGGAAUUCCCAUUCUUCACACAACGUUAUCCAUAAAUAUUCCAGAGCCAAUUAAAUUCGUACUGCAGAUCAAUGUUUCACAACCGUUUUGACCUACCUUUUACUGUCUUUGGCAAAUCUCAUAUGCUACAAGUUUAUUAAACUUUUUCACCAAAGUUAGAAAAACAAUCUUCUUCCAAACCACACAUGCAACUCCUUUCACUCAAUGGCCCUAAUAGUCUCUCUACCUCCCUGAUUAAGAGAUUAUGAAACAGCCUGAGAAAAACAUUCACAGUAUCUAAAACUAAACGUUACAAAAUGGUAUGUAUAGCAUGGUCGUUAAUUGUUUAAAAUUUUUUUAAAAAGCUGAAGGACCAACACACACACAUACACACUGGUCUUUAUUCACAUGAUGGGAUGAUUUUAGAUUUUUAUUUUAUUCUUUAUGGAAAUGAUAUAUAAAUUUCACAGUUUCUAUAAUUAACAUGAAUAGUCAAGAUAACAGUUAAAGAAAACACCUGAAAGAACUUCACUUGACUAUGUGUAAAACUGCGCUUUUACUAAGUUCUUUCUUCCUUUAAUUACAUUCUGUGAAAAUGUAGGAAAUACUUACUUCCUCCUGCAAAAUACCACAACCUCUAGAGAACAUGAAAUGCUUUCCUUUAAAUAUUUCAUAUAAGAGAGUAAAUGGACAUUUUUUAAAUCUCCAAAUAGAACAUUACUAAAAGUUAUUGUUUCAAAAUGUUCCUUUAACCUUAUAUUUGUUAUAUGCAAUUAACUGUUCUGUAUUUCAAAGUAUAAAGAUGUUAGGUCCAUUCAGGGAUAAUGGAAGAAACGGUACAAAACAGAAUCAACUUGCAUCUGAUAACAAACUACUAUCAACGCAUUCAGCAACCAAGGGGGAACUUCUCAGAAUAAAAUCAAUCAAUGAUGAAAACAAAAAAGGAAAUUUCAAACUUUCUCUAUAAUGACUGUAAAGCACUUCAAAAAUUUGCAGGACAUUAUUAAAUUAUAUUCACUAACAAGUUAAUGUUCAUUUACUGAGCAUCUAUUAGGUACUACUGAGCAAUACGCAAUUAGAAGAAUGGCAGUUGUAAUUUCCUACCCAUUGAACUACAAUACAGCAGAAGAGAAAAAAGAGCACGUGGUUAGAACAAUUAGAAAAUAAAAUUAAGCCACACUGCUCUUUGCUAUUAUAUUCAAAUAAAAUUUAAAGGAAAUGUAAGCUACAAAAAAUGCUUUAAAAUGUUAUAAAAUCUAGAAUUAUUAUUGUGCUAUUCUCUAUACCCUAGUCAGAAUAUCUCAGUUCUAAACUACUUACAGAAUAAAAACAUAGUUACACAGAAGAAGUGCUUAGUUACUCCAGGUUUUGCAUGUUGCUGAAAGGACAACAAAAAAAUGCCUUUCUCAGACUGUAGUUUUCUUCUCCAGUUAUAUAUCACUAAGAAAAAGAACUAUGACCAAGACUCUCUAAGCUUCUUUCUCAUAAAUUGAAACCUCAAUCUGACUUAAACAUUAAGGAGCUGGUUUCUCUCUGAUAAAAAGAGAUUCGGAUGGCCCCUACUAGGUAUUAGAUGAGAAUUUAAAAGAUCCCUUUUACUAAUUCUGUCUUCUUUUACCUUUGAAAUUCAUAAAACAUAAUAAUCCUUUGGCCCUCGGUUUUCUUGUAUGUCAAACAGAGCUUAUCAUCUCUGUCUUUCAAGGGCCAGGGCGGUUUUGAGAACUAAAUGAGAAGGUCAAGUAAUAUUCAAAUACGAUUUUCUUUUCCAGGUGGGAACCACACCCAAAAAAAUCCACUUUAUACCAUUCAGAAGCAACACGAUGCAGCAAAAUUAAUAACAGUGUGGUAUUCCGGGAACCUCAUUUUAGUUUCUUCUGUGUCUCAAAUGAAAAAGUGGCAAAAACAAUAGAGGUUGGAUCAGAUGGUCUUUAAUGUCUUUUCCACCAAUAACAUUCUAACUUGACGGAAGCACACACACAUAAACACACACACAAACAUAGCAUAUACCAGAUACAAGUGAUGUUCACUAGAAAAGUUUUCUUUGUAAGGGCACAAGUCAAAUUCUUUUUAACAUCCAGAGCCUUCAAAUCAGGGAACCUGCAAUCAUCUCUAUUCUGAUCUAGUAUUUAAAAGAGAAUAAAGAGCCAAAUGAGGAAAGACCCAAUUGCAAUAAAUGACAAAAUCUGUCUAGAUGACUCAAUCACAAUACGAAACAAAUUAGACGAUUACAGUUGCAACAGCCUUGAAAAAGGCAUUGGAAAAAGAAAUGUGAAGGCUAGAAAUAACUCUAUAGAAGGAAUAUUGCCUGAUCAAGGUACAUUUUACAGUGUAGGCAAGUUUUCAAUAAUAUAACAACCUGUCUAGCAAUCUGCGGAGUUGGGUGGGGAAGAUGGAAGAGAAAGUUACUCUAUCACAUAACUUAGAGUAAUUAAUUUCAAGUAAAUAAUGAAUUUAAAUGGAGAAAAAACAAAAUAUGGGUGAAUGUUUAUGUAAUUCGGGAGCUGGAAAUCAACAACAAAAACAAAAAGUAAACAAAACUUAAGGCAGCAAAUCUACAAAACUGGAAAACAUAUUGCCAUGUGAAAGAGCUAAUGCCCUUUAUAAUAUAUGGCCUAUACAAAUCAAUAGAUACAGCAGUAGAAAAAACUGGACAUAGAACAUAAAAAUUUACUGCAAGUAAAGUGAAACUAAAAUCCAAUAAAAUAUUUUUUCAAUCACCAAUUUGUUGGUUUUCUUUCUCUCUAUAUUUAGAAAAAGGAAAAACAAAAAUGACGACAGAAAAAACCGACCUAGUACCUGAAGGGAAAUGACAGUCUCAAAAUUUUUGGCUGGAGUAUGAAUUGGCAAAAUUUUCUUAAGGCAUUCAGUGAUAUUAAAAAAAAAAAAACAAACUUUAAAAA